rnacentral:rRNA from 1 species
UACGUAGGGUGCAAGCGUUUGUCCGGAAUUAUUGGGCGUAAAGAGCUCGUAGGCGGUUUGUCGCGUCGGCUGUGAAAACCCGGGGCUCAACCCCCGGGGCCUGCAGUCGAUACGGGCAAACUAGAGUGCGGUAGGGGAGACUGGAAUUCCUGGUGUAGCGGUGAAAUGCGCAGAUAUCAGGAGGAACACCGGUGGCGAAGGCGGGUCUCUGGGCCGUAACUGACGCUGAGGAGCGAAAGCGUGGGGAGCGAACAGG